rnacentral:rRNA from 1 species
GGAUAACCUGCCCUUGAGACGGGGAUAAACCCGGGAAACUGGGUAUAAUACCCGAUAGAUCUCGGCUGCUGGAAUGCACCGAGUUCUAAAGCUCCGGCGCUCAAGGAUGGAUCUGCGGCCUAUCAGGUAGUAGUGGGUGUAGCGUACCUACUAGCCUACGACGGGUACGGGUUGUGAGAGCAAGAGCCCGGAGAUGGAUUCUGAGACACGAAUCCAGGCCCUACGGGGUGCAGCAGGCGCGAAAACUUUACAAUGCUGGAAACAGCGAUAAGGGGACCUCGAGUGCCAGGUUACAAAUCUGGCUGUCGUGAUGCCUAAAAAGCAUUGCAUAGCAAGGGCCGGGCAAGACCGGUGCCAGCCGCCGCGGUAACACCGGCGGCUCGAGUGGUAACCGUUAUUAUUGGGUCUAAAGGGUCUGUAGCCGGCCGGAUAAGUCUCUUGGGAAAUCUGGCAGCUUAACUGUCAGGCUUUCAGGAGAUACUGUCUGGCUCGAGGCCGGGAGAGGUGAGAGGUACUUCAGGGGUAGGGGUGAAAUCUUGUAAUCCUUGAAGGACCACCAGUGGCGAAGGCGUCUCACCAGAACGGACCUGACGGCAAGGGACGAAAGCUAGGGGCACGAACCGGAUUAGAUACCCGGGUAGUCCUAGCCGUAAACGAUACUCGCUAGGUGUCGGCCACGGUGCGACCGUUGCCGGUGCCGUAGGGAAGCCGUGAAGCGAGCCACCUGGGAAGUACGGCCGCAAGGCUGAAACUUAAAGGAAUUGGCGGGGGAGCACCACAACGGGUGGAGCUUGCGGUUUAAUUGGAUUCAACGCCGGAAAUCUUACCGGGACCGACAGCAAUAUGAAGGCCAGGCUGAAGACUUUGCCGGAUUAGCUGAGAGGAGGUGCAUGGGCAAUCGUCGAACGC